UACAGAGGGUGCGAGCGUUAAUCGGAAUUACUGGGCGUAAAGCGCACGUAGUCGGCUUUGCAAGUCGGGUGUGAAAUCCCCGGGCUCAACCUGGGAACUGCAUCCGAGACUGCAUUGCUAGAGUAUGGGAGAGGGAAGCGGAAUUUCUGGUGUAGCAGUGAAAUGCGUAGAUAUCAGAAGGAACGUCAGUGGCGAAGGCGGCUUCCUGGACCAAUACUGACGAUCAGGUGCGAAAGCGUGGGGAGCAAACAGG
rnacentral:rRNA from 1 species